GCAUUAAUGGGGUAGUGGUAACCUGGGUCGUUGCCAUAGGAUAUGUGUAGGUGGAUUCUCGACCCGCCGGGGGUUCGAUUCCCUCUUAAUGCA